GCCCCCUGCUCCAUCCCAGCUCCGCUCCCCGGGAGAAUCGAGGCCUUUGCUCACACCAGAUGGGUCGGACUGCCUCACAUGACCUCCUCUCUGGGGCUCACUUGCUAUUUCCGAAAAGGGGGAAAGGAUUUGGGGAGGACAAUCCCGGCGCCUCCUGCUGGCUUUAGGGAGAGACAGGGCUGGGCUGGAGGAGAGCCCUGAGGAGCAGGCGGAGGUGGGUUGGCGAGGACCUUGUGUGACUUGUGCCGAGAAACUUCACUUAUUCUCAGCGGUUGGCAGUUGUCAAACUACGUCUUAUAGAUGCUAAGUCACCAUAGAGGUAUCUUAGUUUGGUGACAAGGUUGGGACACCUUGAGCAAGCCUUUCUGCUGGGCUAACUGGAGGAUGUGUAGCCGUCUCUGGUCAGAGAAGAAGCCCUAUUUGCUGAAGUCUUUCUUCAACACUUUGACUCGGCCAUCCUCCCCCUCCCCAAACCUGCUGAAGACCCAGAAAAUCUCCCAGACUCUCCCAUUGCUGGUGACCGCAUCCACCAUCAGAGCCUCUGCUGGGGAAUGGAAUCCUGACUUGGUUUGGGUGUCACCGUGCCCAGACGGAAAGCUCCCUUCCUUAGCCUCUGUGCAUCUAUCUGCACGUUGACACCAUCUGGUGAAGAGUUUACCAUCUCAUGGUUUCGGGCAAAGCUUUUGCUUUUGUGGCUGAGGCAUGUUCCUUCUUUGCUUCCCUCUCUCUUGCUAGACAAACAAGAGGACAGGAGAUCAGCUAUCUGAGGCCAAAGAAUGGGGAGUGAAGCCAGGGAGAGCGCCCGCCUGGGACUGCCUCCUUUGGCGUUUGCUUUGUUUGCAAUACCGUCUCCUGGAUAGGUGCAGGCCACUGUCACUUGGGUUUUCUUUUGCUUGAGCUGAGUGUAGUCCUCAAUGACACAUGGAGGGGGCUAUGAGUGUUUGCAUGGGGGCAGAGUCCUCCUGCACCAGUGCAGCCUCAGGAAAGGCCUCUCUCAAAUCUGCCUUGUUCUCCCAUCAGGAAGCAGAGAGGAGGGGACUGGGCCAGGAAGAGAGCGUGGCCUGGAAUAUCACUCACUCAAGCAUGGGGGUCUCUGUGAGUGGACUCUGUGUGCUUCUCCUAUUCAAUCCUGAUGUCCUCAGGGGUUGGGCAUUGUCUUGCCCUCAUUUUCAGUAAGCCUAGAGUGAGGCUAGGCAUUGAGGAGGAGACAUCUGUGAGCGCACAUUCUGAUUGGUGCUCAGGUGGUCACCACCAGCUCGCAGAGAGCAGGUGGGCCAGGUUGGGGCACCCCACCACCCAUGGGAGAGCACAUAACCUAAUGCGCUAGGUGUCUGAGACCGUGUGCAUCAGUGGGUCCCGAGUCUAGGAGGUGACAGGGCAGGGAGGAUGCCUCAUCCUCAAACCACAGUGGGCCUUUCAGGUUCACUUUUGUUUUUGAAAUGGAGUGUUGUUCUGUCUCCCAGGCUGGAGUGCAGUGGUGUGAUCUUGGCUCACUGCAACCUCUGCCUCCCGUGUUCAACUGAUUCUCCUACCUGUGCCUCCUGAGUAGCUGGGAUUAUAAGUGCGCACUACAGCACCCAGCUAUUUUUUGAAUUUUUUUUUUUAGUAGAGAUGGGGUUUCACCCUGUUGGCCAGGCUGGUCUUGAACUUCUGACCUCAGGUGAUUGUCUGCCUCAGCCUCCCACAGUGUUGGGGUUACAGGCCUGAGCCACCGCGCUGGGCCAGGCUCACAUUUUGGUUAGAAGUGCAUUAGGGAGUCUCCCACAGUGCAGAGAGAGAGAAGAGGGAGGAGCUAACACGUCUUGCCUGACUACUGUGUCCCCAUCAGGACUCAGCAUGUUCCUGCAGCCACCCAGAGAUGUGGUUACUAAAAUUGCCGUGGCAGAGGUAAAGCAAGGAAGAAGUAAAUCGCCCAGACAUCGGAGGGAAGAGGCCGCACAUUCGACCCACCUCCAACAGGGAAGCCACUGUGCUUUCCGUAGCAGCUGGGACACAAUGGUGAAAAUUCCAUUUCACAGACUGGCUCCUGGGAAAUUCUAAGCAAUUGAACUGGAUAAUAAAAUUGGUGUUUUAAAUCUU